GGUCGUUAGAGCAGUAUGGUUAGGUUGCGGUUGGAUUUGGUGAUCUUGAAGGUCCUUUCCAACCUCAGCAAUUCUAUGAUUCUAUGAUGUGGAAUACCGAUAACAAAAAAAUCAUAAAACUAUGACAUUUUCACAUGAAGGUGUCUAGCAAAUGCAUUUGAAUUGCUUAGGAGUUAGAGAACAUCAAAGUGAAGGAAGACAGGAGUUCAGUGAUAUAGCUUAUAGGGAAGAGAUCGAGUUAUGACUGGAUUAUUUGAACAUAUAAAUGAAAAUACUGUUACUAAGUGACUCUUAUCAGCAUAAAAAAAUAAUGAAACAACGAACAACAAAGUAAAAGCAGAGAAAUUCAAACUGAAAAUUUUACAAAUUCUUUUAAAGGGAAUAUGUUUAAAUCCUGGAAGAACUAUUGAGGCAAAUGGCAGAUUAUCUGCCCUUUGGUGCCUUCAAACCGGGACUUGCAUUUUGAAAAUCUACUUCUUUGCCAAGGAUAACAUGUAGACUUUAGUUCAAGGCUUAACUACAAGGAAAAGGCUGAUCCUUCUGUAUUUCUUGGAACCCAGACAAACCAUCAGCUCUGACCACUAUCUUGCAGUGCUGAAAAAACUGAAGACUCAAACAUCCAGAGUCAGACCGGAGAGGAAGACAACCUUUCUCUUGCAACACAAUAAUACCAGACCCCAUGGCAGUUUGAAGAUCAUGGAGCACACUGCCAGUCUUGGCUGGACUGUCCUACCACAUACACUGUAUAGGCCAAAUGUGGUACCUUCUAACUUUCAUCUAUUCUGACUUAUAAUUCUGAAUUAUAUUCUUAUAUUCUGACUGCGUAGCCAACUUUUUCUUAGCAACGCCAUCAUAGCAGUUGUGAAACAGUGGGUCACCUCUGCUGGUGCAAGUGCAGCUUUUCUUCAUCAUGGGUGAAAAUGAAUAGCUAAUGGUGGUGACUAUGCUGAAAAACAGUGUAUUAUAGCUGAGAAUUUACUUUAUCAGAUAAGUAUUCUUGUGCUUCCUGUAUCUAUUGCAGUUCCCAUGGAAAUAAAUAGGAGGUGAUACUUC